UCAGUAACACGUAGUCAACAUGCCCCAGGGGACGUGGAUAACCUCGGGAAACUGAUGGAAUAAACCGCGAUAGGUCACUACUUCUGGAAUGGGUAAUGACCCAAUACCUAUAUGGCCCCUGGAUUGGACUGCGGCCGAUCAGGCUGUUGGUGAGGUAAUGGCCCACCAAACCUGUAACCGGUACGGGCUCUGAGAGGAGGAGUCCCGGAGAUGGGCACUGAGACAAGGGCCCAGGCCCUAUGGGGCGCAGCAGGCGCGAAACCUCUGCAAUAGGCGAAAGCUUGACAGGGUUACUCUGAGUGAUUUCCGUUACAGGAGAUCUUGUUGGCACCUCUAUAAAAUGGUGCAGAAUAAGGGCUGGCAACUCUGGUGCCAGCC
rnacentral:rRNA from 1 species